rnacentral:pre_miRNA from 1 species
AAAAUACUCCCACCAUCCGUAAAAUACUUGUUAUAAGAAUAUAUGUAUCUAGAUGCAUUUUAGUUCUAGAUACAUUCAUUUUUAUUCAUUUAUGUGAAAAUUAAUUCCGGAUGGAGGGAGUAUGUU